rnacentral:sRNA from 1 species
CAGAGCCCGCGGAGCCGGCGGGAGCCGCGCGCGCCGCCCAGCCGUGCGUCAUGGGCAACAUCCAGAAGAAGCUGACUGGCAAAGCCGAAGGCGGCAAGCGGCCGGCAAGGGGCGCGCCGCGGCGGGGCCAGACCCCGGAGGCCGGCGCGGACAAGCGGAGCCCACGGCGGGCCUCUGCGGCGGCGGGCGGCGGCGCCACCGGGCAUCCGGGCGGCGGGCAGGGCGCGGAGAACCCUGCCGGCCUGAAGAGCCAGGGCAACGAGCUGUUCCGAAGCGGGCAGUUCGCCGAGGCGGCCGGCAAGUACUCGGCGGCAAUCGCGCUCCUGGAGCCUGCAGGCUAUCAAGAAUUUUAAUGGAGCUGGAUGGACCAAAUUGGCGGGAGAAGCUGUCACCUAUUCCUGCUGUGCCUGCUUCUGUGCCACUGCAAGCUUGGCAUCCGGCAAAAGAGAUGAUCUCAAAACAAGCAGGAGACUCCAGCAGCCAUCGCCAGCAGGGCAUCACAGAUGAAAAAACAUUUAAAGCCCUUAAGGAAGAAGGAAAUCAAUGUGUAAAUGACAAAAACUAUAAAGACGCCCUCAGUAAAUACAGCGAAUGCUUAAAGAUUAACAAUAAGGAAUGUGCCAUAUAUACAA